ensembl:lncRNA
GCCUGAUUUAGGCCAUUUUCAUUUGAUCAGAAAAGAUGAUAUGUAUAUUUGUAACUAUUUGUAAUGAUCUCUUGAUCAUUAGUUUUGUCAGCUAAACUUAAAGAGAACAAAAGAACUGGUUCGGGCCUAGUCCGUAUGUGGAGGUAGCCGUAGAUGGCCAGUCGAAGAAAACGGAGAAGUGCACCAACACUCACAGCCCAAGUGGAAGCAGCCACUCACAGUAAUUGUUUCCCCCUUCAGCAAGUUAAUUUUCCGUGUCUGGAGUCAUCAGACUCUCAAAGCAGACAUUUUGUUGGGAAUGGCAACUUUAGAAGUCAGUGAGACCCUCAAAUCCAAUGACAUGAAGAGUAAGUCCUGUAUACAGACUCUGCCUCUGAGUGCAGAUACAGAUGGCAGUGACGUGGUGGGAGAUCUGUCUGUGUGUCUGGAUGGAAUGCAGGUGGAUCCUGAAACGUUUGCUUCUGAGGAACAGAAGCACAGUAAGACAUCUGUUUCCUAACAAAUCAUCAGCUCUGCUCAGGUUGACCCUUUACAAUGAUCUUUGCAGAAGAUUCAGCACAGAGCGAAAUGCUAUUAUACCUGUGGGGGGACAUGAAAUGCAACAGACAAAUCUUUACUGACAUGCAGAACAUGUACCACACUGUAAAGCAAAAUCAUCAUUGUAAGCAAUCAGCAAGGGAUUGCUUUUU